rnacentral:rRNA from 1 species
AUGGACGCUGACAGAAUGCUUAACACAUGCAAGUCAACUUGAAUUUGGGUUUUUAACUUCGGUUUGGGUGGCGGACGGGUGAGUAACGCGUAAAGAACUUGCCUCACAGCUAGGGACAACAUUUGGAAACGAAUGCUAAUACCUAAUAUUAUGAUAAUAGGGCAUCCUAUAAUUAUGAAAGCUAUAAGCGCUGUGAGAGAGCUUUGCGUCCCAUUAGCUAGUUGGAGAGGUAACGGCUCACCAAGGCGAUGAUGGGUAGCCGGCCUGAGAGGGUGAUCGGCCACAAGGGGACUGAGACACGGCCCUUACUCCUACGGGAGGCAGCAGUGGGGAAUAUUGGACAAUGGACCAAGAGUCUGAUCCAGCAAUUCUGUGUGCACGAUGAAGUUUUUCGGAAUGUAAAGUGCUUUCAGUUGGGAAGAAAGAAAUGACGGUACCAACAGAAGAAGUGACGGCUAAAUACGUG